GGAGGACUAGGGUAAGAGCACCCCCAUUCUCAGGAGCGGGAAGGAGGUGACUUCUCAUGCAGUUAGCCAAAGUAUUAACAUCUUAGCUUUGCAGAGGAAAAAAUUUAAAAGAAGCUAAUGGGUUCAUCUCAGCCAAUAUUUGGAGGCAACAGCAAGGCUUCCCCAGAACUUUCCAAGUCUGACACAAAACCCAGAAGCAACAAAGGAAAAGAAUGACAGAUUUAAGUGCAUGAAGUCUAAAUAUAUCCUGCAGGGCUCAAGAAACCAUAAGCAAAGGUAAAGCCAAAUACGAACAGGUAAAAGAUGAUAUAUGUACAAGAAACCUGUUAAAUGACACUAAUACAUAAAAAAGCUUCAACAAUUCAGUAAGAAAAAGACAAUUCAGCAGGAAAAAGUGGGCAAGUAACAUGGGACUUGUAGAAGAAAUACAAACACACACUUUAAGGGCGUCAACAUUUUUUUUUUUCGACACAGGGACUUGCUACGUAGUUCUGACUGCAGCAGUGCUCCUACCUCAUCUCGUCGUAGUGCUGGGAUUAUAGGCAUGCAUCACCAUACCUGGGAUCGAACUCAGGACCUUGCGCUUUCGCUUUCAAGGCAGGCUGCAGAACCACUGAGCUAAAUCCCCCGGCCCUGAAGACUGAAGCCAUUGACCAGUGUCUGCUACCAAAGUGGUCUACCACACCACGGAGCCACGCCUCAGCCCCAAUGAAAGUAUUGGUAAUCAGAUGACCUAGGACUUCCCAACUG
rnacentral:lncRNA from 1 species